rnacentral:rRNA from 1 species
GACGAACGCUGGCGGCGUGCUUAACACAUGCAAGUCGAACGGAAAGGCCCUGCUUUUGUGGGGUGCUCGAGUGGCGAACGGGUGAGUAACACGUGAGUAACCUGCCCUUGACUUUGGGAUAACUUCAGGAAACUGGGGCUAAUACCGGAUAGGAGCUCCUGCUGCAUGGUGGGGGUUGGAAAGUUUCGGCGGUUGGGGAUGGACUCGCGGCUUAUCAGCUUGUUGGUGGGGUAGUGGCUUACCAAGGCUUUGACGGGUAGCCGGCCUGAGAGGGUGACCGGCCCAAUGGGGACUGGGAUACGGCCCAGACCCCUACGGGGGGCAGGAGGGGGGAAUAUUGCACAAUGGGCGGAAGCCUGAUGCAGCAACGCCGGGGGCGGGAUGACGGCCUUCGGGUUGUAAACCGCUUUCGCCUGUGACGAAGCGUGAGUGACGGUAAUGGGUAAAGAAGCACCGGCUAACUACGU